rnacentral:rRNA from 1 species
GUAGGUGGCAAGCGUUGUCCGGAUUUAUUGGGCGUAAAGCGAACGCAGGCGGGAGAACAAGUCAGCUGUGAAAGCCCUCGGCUUAACCGAGGAACGGCAACUGAAACUGUUUUUCUUGAGUGCAGAAGAGGAGAGUGGAACUCCAUGUGUAGCGGUGAAAUGCGUAGAUAUAUGGAAGAACACCAGAGGCGAGGGCGGCUCUCUGGUCUGUAACUGACGCUGAGGUUCGAAAGCAUGGGUAGCGAACAGGAUUAGAUACCCUGGUAGUCCAUGCCGUAAACGAUGAGUGCUAAGUGUUGGGAGGUUUCCGCCUCUCAGUGCUGCAGCUAACGCAUUAAGCACUCCGCCUGGGGAGUACGACCGCAAGGUUA